rnacentral:rRNA from 1 species
UACGUAGGGGGCUAGCGUUGUCCGGAUUUAUUGGGCGUAAAGAGCGCGCAGGCGGUCGUUCAAGUCGCGUGUGAAAGCCCCCGGCUCAACUGGGGAGGGUCACGCGAUACUGAUCGACUGGAAGGCAGGAGAGGGUAGUGGAAUUCCCGGUGUAGUGGUGAAAUGCGUAGAUAUCGGGAGGAACACCAGUGGCGAAGGCGACUACCUGGCCUGUUCUUGACGCUGAGGCGCGAAAGCUAGGGGAGCAAACGGG